rnacentral:piRNA from 1 species
UAUCGGUGAUGUGCUUGAAGAAAUUAU